UAAGUACUCCAUCUGUCCGGAAUUACUUGUCAUCAAAAUGGAUGUGUCUAGAACUAAAAUACAUCCAGAUACAUCCAUUUCAAUGACAAGUAUUUUCGGACGGAGGGAGUACAAG
rnacentral:pre_miRNA from 1 species